rnacentral:rRNA from 1 species
UACGGGGGGAGCAAGCGUUGUUCGGAUUUACUGGGCGUAAAGGGCGCGUAGGCGGUCGUGACAAGUCACUUGCUGAAAUCUCCGGGCUUAACUCGGAACGGUCAGGUGAUACUGUCGGACUAGAGUACAGAAGGGGCAACUGGAAUUCUCGGUGUAGCGGUGAAAUGCGUAGAUAUCGAGAGGAACACCUGCGGCGAAGGCGGGUUGCUGGGCUGAUACUGACGCUGAGGCGCGAAAGCCAGGGGAGCGAACGGG